UACGUAGGGGGCAAGCGUUGUCCGGAAUCAUUGGGCGUAAAGAGCGUGUAGGCGGCCUGGUAAGUCCGCUGUGAAAGUCCAGGGCUCAACCCUGGAAUGCCGGUGGAAACUGUCAGGCUCGAGUCCGGAAGAGGCGAGUGGAAUUCCUGGUGUAGCGGUGAAAUGCGCAGAUAUCAGGAGGAACACCGAUGGCGAAGGCAGGUCUCUGGGCCGCAACUGACGCUGAGGAGCGAAAGCAUGGGGAGCGAACAGG
rnacentral:rRNA from 1 species